GAUGAACGCUGGCGGCGUGCCUAACACAUGCAAGUCGAACGAAGGUAUGUAUAGGAAGUCUUCGGAUGGAAUAUGUAUAACUUAGUGGCGGACGGGUGAGUAACGCGUAAGUAAUCAACCUGUGACACACGGAUAACUGAUAGAAAUGUCAGCUAAUACGAGAUGAACUGUUUAAAUUGGGAAAUGGAAACAGCAAAGCGAAAGCGGUCACAGACGAGCUUGCGUCUGAUUAGCUAGUUGGUGGGGUAAGAGCCUACCAAGGCGACGAUCAGUAGCCGGCCUGAGAGGGUGAACGGCCACAUUGGAACUGAGACACGGUCCAAACUCCUACGGGAGGCAGCAGUGGGGGAUAUUGCACAAUGGGGGGAACCCUGAUGCAGCAACGCCGCGUGAGUGAAGAAGGCCCUAGGGUCGUAAAGCUCUGUCGUAUGGGAAGAAACAAAUGACUGUACCAUACAAGAAAGCCCC
rnacentral:rRNA from 1 species